UGGAAGCAUAAUCCAUUCAUUGAAUAAACCCACGAUUAUGUUUUAUCUAAUCUCUCACGCCUCUUACUCACCCAAAAAAAUCUCUCACGCCUCACUCUUCUGUGUCUCUUCUCUGUCACGCCUCACGCCUCACCCCUCACCCCUCUGCCCUCCUCUCUGUUACUAGAGCACCACCGCGGUUAGACGAGCACACCGCAAGGGUUACAGAAGCACCACCGUCGCUUUGUCGGGUAGGGCAAGCACAAUAACCAAGUUGAAUGAGAUAAUCACUACAGUUAAUAUGUACCUGCAAAAAGAAACAAACAUUAUGGCUAUUACACUAUCUUCAAGCUCUUGUCGAUGGCAUGCCUAUUCUUCUCGGCGUGUCUUUGUAUAACUGCAGCUUCAGAGUCAAGCUUCUGGGAUGUGGAGUUUCCGUAUGUUCAGCAAUGAAGAUGUUACGAUUGGUGCAUGGAUGCUUGCAAUGAAUGUCAACCAUGAGGACAACCGACAACUUUGUGAACCAGAAGGUACUCCAUCAUCUAUUGCUGUUUGGGAUAUUCCAAAGUGUUCAGGUUGGUAAUUAACUAAUUAUUCUCAUGGUUUGGAUGCAUGUUCUCUUAGAAACAACCUCCAUAUGCUGAAAUCUAAUAAAAUCCCACCUUGGAGAAAGAGGAAAAAUAAAGGAAAUAAUUUAUCAAGAAUUUUAACAAGGCCCCUCAAAACCCACUGAUUGACUCAAAGAAGUUAGAAAGGAUAAAAAGUUGAUGUGGCAUGGGAGAUAGACAUUCUGUAUUAAUGAAACUGUUUUGUUAUGUUGCGGCAUUGCCCUUAAUAUGUAAUUUAGAUUUUAUUUUUUAUUUUUUUGCAUUUAAUUUGGUUUUGUGGUUGUUUUCCUUUGAAUGGAUGUCAUUGAAACAAAAGCUAUUUGUGCAAAGAAUUGAUUUUUAAAGAAUGUUCUUCUUAUGCAUAGAAGUUAUAUA